rnacentral:rRNA from 1 species
GACAGACUCCUACGGGAGGCAGCAGUGGGGAAUAUUGCACAAUGGGGGAAACCCUGAUGCAGCGACGCCGCGUGGGUGAAGGAGCACCUCGGUGCGUAAAGCCCUAUCGGCAGGGAAGAAACAGACGGUACCUGACUAAGAAGCCCCGGCUAACUACGUGCCAGCAGCCGCGGUAAUACGUAGGGGGCAAGCGUUAUCCGGAUUCACUGGGUGUAAAGGGAGCGUAGACGGCGACGCAAGUCUGGAGUGAAAGCCCGGGGCCCAACCCCGGGACUGCUCUGGAAACUGCGGCGCUGGAGUACGGGAGGGGCAGGCGGAAUUCCUGGUGUAGCGGUGAAAUGCGUAGAUAUUAGGAAGAACACCAGUGGCGAAGGCGGCUUUCUGGACUGAAACUGACGCUGAGGCACGAAAGCGUGGGGAGCGAACAGGAUUAGAUACCCGAGUAGU